AAAGCAUGAUGUGGACAUUUCCUUAUUAGUUCCUUGUACCUUUCCCAAGCCUUAUGUAGAUAUUCUUGAUGCAUAAAAGUAGUGAUUUCAUUUCUCAUUCU
rfam:Vigna angularis cultivar Jingnong 6 chromosome 11, whole genome shotgun sequence.